AUUUCUCUCUUUUAUUUCAAGUGAGUGGUAGAUUAUUCUCCAAAAAUAAUGGUGACAUAUUUGAUUUUAGCGUUGCUCGAUUGGGACGGAGGAGUAAUAGAUGGAUCUUUGUGUUAUUUUGGUAUGGGAGGCAUUGGUAAACUAUAUCCAAGAAAAAGAGUGCUGAAUUUUGUUCCGGAGGAGUGAUCACGAAUUGAUGAUACGAGUCUAGGCCUAACUACAAAUCAGCCAGUUGGAGUUGGAAUCUAGGCAUCCACCAUUAUAGAAGAAGAGGCAUCCACUCCGGCUUGUCAUUUGCCGCCUUGGCCUCGGCCCUCUCCUUCUCAGCCUUUGCCAAAAUGCCAAAAUGCUGCAAGCUCCCUCACCCUCGCAUCAUUUUCAAGCAUCACUCUCUUGGGUGACGUACGCAAUUCCAACAGCCUCCUCUCACCGAGGGGUCUCCCACUCCCGCCAAUAGCCAAACGCACAACUGAAAUCAGAUUACACAUUGCACAAUUUCAGGAUUUAAUUGAAAUCACAAAACCAGAAGAAGAAGAAAUCUAAGAAGAAAUCUAGGCAUCCACCGUUAUAGAAGAGGAAGAAAUCUAGGCAUCCACCGAUAUAGAAGAAGAAGAUUGGGACUUUGAGGAAUCAUGAUGAUCACGGAAGAUUAUGAGAAAUCUAGGCAUCCACCGAUAUAGAAGAAGAAGAUUGGGACUUUGAGGAAUCAUGAUGAUCACGGAAGAUUAUGAGUGGGAUAUCUCCCAAAGUUGUCCAACCGGGUGUUGCACAGGGCUCUCCACGCCAUGGCAUCUGCGUUCCAUUGUUGCGCCUGGAUCCAACGAGCCUCCUGCUGUUCUUGGGUCACCGGCAGUUAAUUAGUAGUUAUUUUAUUAGUGCAGUAGUGGUUAUUAGUGGUAGUUAAUUUAGUAGUGCAUUAGUGGUCCGAGAUUCCCGAUGAGCCUCUACACAUCCAGGAUGUCGCACCGUAUAUGGAAGGAUGAAGAGGAGGCUACUGAGCAUGAGGUGAGCGAGAGCAGCCGGCCUAAGAGGAGAUGUCCAGUUGGCCGACCUUCUAGGGACGACAGAUAUAGCUGCUGAACAGCCUUCAGCUUGAUCAGUGGGAAAAGAUGCAAAAAUAACGUGAGGAUAAUCAGCUAUGGAGGGCCCAACAGGAGUGGGACGCAGAUAUAGCACCUGCAAGCUCAAGGAGACGCGGAGGAGCAGGCCUUCUACCAAGCCUACUAUGCAAGGCCCCCACCACCGUCCGACUAGAGAGAAAAAUUGAAUACGAGAAGGUUGGCCUCAUGCAUUAAUUUUGUGCAUUUGCGGUUGCACAUUCCUCAGCUUUCUGGUUCUGGAGACCUUAGAUUGGGCAGAAAUUUUCUGAGAGAGCGGAGACGAACUUCAGCCCCCUAUAAGGUUUCCACAUGUGAAUCAGAUGCUAUUGUUGGAUGUAGUCUGGAAUCCCUCGGUUGAAAGGCAGGGGAUAUCUUAUCCGUUGAAUGGUAGAUCGGAAAGCCAUUGGUAUUGGCGGCAUUGGAAAAGGAGAAGAGGAAAACCCUUUCACAACAACCGAAGGCUUGGGGCGCUUAUGUAGUGACACAUGUACGCGCCCCAUAGAAAUCGGUUCCAAGCCUCAAAGGUGGCUGUGUGGGUCCUAAGAAAAGGGUUGUGUCUCUGCUCAAACAGACAUCUCGUGUUACACUUGAGGAGAUUAAGCUCAAGUUUAUCGAUACUUGAUCGAAGUUUGGACGUGGCGUUUCCAGACAACCGAGGAGGAGCACAAGUAUUACGGCCCGGUCAACGCCUAAACCUUGAGUGUGACAAUUGUACAAUGAAAUAUACUUGCAUCCUUUUUAUUGUCAUCGAAAUAUAGACUAAAAUAUUCUUUUAUGCCAACUGUUACUUAUUCA